rnacentral:rRNA from 1 species
CCUACGGGAGGCAGCAGUGAGGAAUAUUGGUCAAUGGGCGCUAGCCUGAACCAGCCAAGUAGCGUGAAGGAUGACUGCCCUAUGGGUUGUAAACUUCUUUUAUAUGGGAAUAAAGUCCAGUAUGUAUACUGCUUUGCAUGUACCUUAUGAAUAAGGAUCGGCUAACUCCGUGCCAGCAGCCGCGGUAAUACGGAGGAUCCGAGCGUUAUCCGGAUUUAUUGGGUUUAAAGGGAGCGUAGGAGGGUUGUUAAGUCAGUUGUGAAAGUUUGCGGCUCAACCGUAAAAUUGCAGUUGAUACUGGCAGCCUUGAGUACAGGAGAGGUAUGCGGAAUUCGUGGUGUAGCGGUGAAAUGCUUAGAUAUCACGAAGAACUCCGAUUGCGAAGGCAGCCUGCUGGACUGUAACUGACGCUGAUGCUCGAAAGUGUGGGUAUCAAACAGGAUUAGAUACCCCAGUAGUC